rnacentral:rRNA from 1 species
AAGCACUUUUACAGAUUUCUUCGGAAUGAAGUUUUAGUGACUGAGUGGCGGACGGGUGAGUAACGCGUGGGUAACCUGCCUCACACAGGGGGAUAACAGUUAGAAAUGACUGCUAAUACCGCAUAAGACCACAGCACCGCAUGGUGCGGGGGUAAAAACUCCGGUGGUAUGAGAUGGCCUCGCGUCCGAUUAGCUAGUUGGUGAGGUAACGGCCCACCUAGUCUUCGAUGGAUAGGGGUUCUGAGAGGAAGGUCCCCCACAUUGGAACUGAGACACGGUCCAAACUCC